CAGAGGAAGAGAAAUGGUUCACGUCAGGGACAACGCAGUUUCAGCCUACGAGUUCACGGUAGUCUACCCACACAAACAUCACCGUGUGUAAAAGCACAAAUAAUGAUGAAGGUCUAAGGACACGAUGAAAAGACUGAAGAGAUGUAACAAUGCUUUAAGAACGCUGACCUACCCACUGAUUCCCCACCAGAGACGUCCCCCCGUGCCUGUCCCCUCCCUUCCCCUCCGACGUUGGUAUGAUCCAAAAGCCUGGUGGUUUGUUUGCUUGGGAAAGGAGAAUAUCCUCUGAGGUCAAGUCAAACAGGAUGUGCUAGAGUGUGGUCCUUCGCUCCUAUUGGCUCUUUGUAAUAACGCUCUCAGUGGGGCUAACACACACACAUACACACACACAAAUGUAUGAACAUGUGUGUGCCCACAUAAACAUCUGAAAUACCAUACCUAACAACCACAAAUGUAGUUUAGUGAAAUGCCUGUCUGACAGGCUGUCCAGUUGUACUUACCUUAAAAGAGGAGUUUGUGAUUAAAGCAGCGUGCACAGAGCGGACUUGUUUGAAUAAGAUGUUGCAUUGAGAAAAUGUCAAAUAGUAAAACUAAUAAACAGACUACUGCAUAUGAAGACACCACUUAGCGAAAGCUCAAGAGGGACAGUGCUAUCGGAGGAAACUGGUCAUGGCUUACCUGAUGUCACAGUUUUUAAACUCCUAGCCUCCAAACAGAUUUGAUCAGCAAUGCUGGAAAUGUUUAAGUCAAAGUAUUUAAGCAUUUUCAGCUUUUAUUAGUUUAUGAAACAUCUCCUGAACUAUAAUUACCACAAAGUCCAGAAAUGAAUUCACCCACUUCAGGCUCAGACCCAAGAGAGAAAGAACAGAGAUAGAACAAGAA